AUUGCCCUAGUAACGGCGAGUGAAGCGGCAACAGCUCAAAUUUGAAAUCUGGCGUCUUCGGCGUCCGAGUUGUAAUUUGCAGAGGGCGCUUUGGCAUUGGCAGCGGUCCAAGUUCCUUGGAACAGGACGUCACAGAGGGUGAGAAUCCCGUACGUGGUCGCUAGCCUUUACCGUGUAAAGCCCCUUCGACGAGUCGAGUUGUUUGGGAAUGCAGCUCUAAAUGGGAGGUAAAUUUCUUCUAAAGCUAAAUACUGGCCAGAGACCGAUAGCGCACAAGUAGAGUGAUCGAAAGAUGAAAAGCACUUUGGAAAGAGAGUUAAAAAGCACGUGAAAUUGUUGAAAGGGAAGCGCUUGCAGCCAGACUUGCCUGUAGUUGCUCAUCCGGGUUUCUACCCGGUGCACUCUUCUAUAGGCAGGCCAGCAUCAGUUUGGGCGGUUGGAUAAAGGUCUCUGUCAUGUACCUCCUUUCGGGGAGAUCUUAUAGGGGAGACGACAUGCAACCAGCCUGGACUGAGGUCCGCGCAUCUGCUAGGAUGCUGGCGUAAUGGCUGUAAGCGGCCCGUCUUGAAACACGGACCAAGGAGUCUAACAUCUAUGCGAGUGUUUGGGUGUCAAGCCCGAACGCGUAAUGAAAGUGAACGGAGGUGGGAACCUUUCGGGGUGCACCAUCGACCGAUCCUGAUGUCUUCGGAUGGAUUUGAGUAAGAGCAUAGCUGUUGGGACCCGAAAGAUGGUGAACUAUGCUUGAAUAGGGUGAAGCCAGAGGAAACUCUGGUGGAGGCUCGCAGCGGUUCUGACGUGCAAAUCGAUCGUCAAAUUUGGGCAUAGGGGCGAAAGACUAAUCGAACUAU
rnacentral:rRNA from 1 species